rnacentral:rRNA from 1 species
UUGACGGGGACCCGCACAAGCGGUGGAUGAUGUGGUUAAUUCGAUGCAACGCGAAAAACCUUACCCACCUUUGACAUGGCAGGAAUCCCGAAGAGAUUUGGGAGUGCUCGAAAGAGAACCUGCACACAGGUGCUGCAUGGCUGUCGUCAGCUCGUGUCGUGAGAUGUUGGGUUAAGUCCCGCAACGAGCGCAACCCUUGCCAUUAGUUGCUACGAAAGGGCACUCUAAUGGGACUGCCGGUGACAACCGGAGGAAGGUGGGGAUGACGUCAAGUCCUCAUGGCCCUUAUAGGUGGGGCUACACACGUCAUACAAUGGCCGGUACAGAGGGUAGCCAACCCGCGGAGGGGGAGCCAAUCCCACAAAGCCGGUCGUAGUCCGGAUCGCAGUCUGCAACUCGACUGCGUGAAGUCGGAAUCGCUAGUAAUCGCGGAUCAGCACGCCGCGGUGAAUACGUUCCCGGGCCUU